GAUUAUUGGGCGUAAAGAGCUCGUAGGCGGUUUGUCGCGUCUGCCGUGAAAGUCCGGGGCUCAACUCCGGAUCUGCGGUGGGUACGGGCAGACUAGAGUGAUGUAGGGGAGACUGGAAUUCCUGGUGUAGCGGUGAAAUGCGCAGAUAUCAGGAGGAACACCGAUGGCGAAGGCAGGUCUCUGGGCAUUAACUGACGCUGAGGAGCGAAAGCAUGGGGAGCGAACAGGAUUAGAUACCCUGGUAGUCCAUGCCGUAAACGUUGGGCACUAGGUGUGGGGGACAUUCCACGUUUUCCGCGCCGUAGCUAACGCAUUAAGUGCCCCGCCUGGGGAGUACGGCCGCAAGGCUAAAACUCAAAGGAAUUGACGGGGGCCCGCACAAGCGGCGGAGCAUGCGGAUUAAUUCGAUGCAACGCGAAGAACCUUACCAAGGCUUGACAUGGACCGGACCGCCGCAGAAAUGUGGUUUCCCCUUUGGGGCCGGUUCACAGGUGGUGCAUGGUUGUCGUCAGCUCGUGUCGUGAGAUGUUGGGUUAAGUCCCGCAACGAGCGCAACCCUCGUUCCAUGUUGCCAGCGCGUAAUGGCGGGGACUCAUGGGAGACUGCCGGGGUCAACUCGGAGGAAGGUGGGGACGACGUCAAAUCAUCAUGCCCCUUAUGUCUUGGGCUUCACGCAUGCUACAAUGGCCGGUACAAAGGGUUGCGAUACUGUGAGGUGGAGCUAAUCCCAAAAAGCCGGUCUCAGUUCGGAUUGGGGUCUGCAACUCGACCCCAUGAAGUCGGAGUCGCUAGUAAUCGCAGAUCAGCAACGCUGCGGUGAAUACGUUCCCGGGCCUUGUACACACCGCCCGUCAAGUCACGAAAGUUGGGUAACACCCGAAGCCGGUGGGCUAACCCCU
rnacentral:rRNA from 1 species